rnacentral:rRNA from 1 species
GAUGAACGCUGGCGGCAUGCCUAAUACAUGCAAGUCGAGCGAACAGCUGAGGAGCUUGCUCCCCUGACGUUAGCGCCGGACGGGUGAGUAACACGUGGAUAACCUACCUAUAAGACUGGGAUAACUUCGGGAAACCGGAUCUAAUACCGGAUUAUAUCUUCAACCGCAUGGUUCACUAUUGAAAGGCGGUUUUGCUGUCUCUUCUCGCUGCAUCCCCGCCACAGUAGCUAGUUGUUAAGGUAACGGCUUCCCCAGGCAACCAUGGGUACCGGACCUGAGAGGGUGGUUGGCUACCUGGUAAGGGAGACACGGUCCAGACUCUGAGGGUGGGCAGCAGCAGGGAAUCUUCCGGAAUGGGGGAGAGGCUGACGGUGCAACGCGGCGUCAGUGAUGAAGGUCUUCGGAUCGGAAAACGCUGUUAGUAGGGGAGAACAAAUGUGUAAGUAACUGUGAACAUCUUGACGGUACCUAAUCAGAAAGCCACGGCUAACUACGUG